AUGCAGUCGAACGAAGUAGCAAUACUUAGUGGCGAACGGGUGAGUAUAAUGUGGGUAUCUGCCUUUUGGUUUGGAAUAACACGGGGAAACUUGUGCUAAUACCGGAUAAGCCUUCACAGGGAAAGUUUUAACGCCAAAAGAUGAGCCCGCACUUGAUUAGCUAGUUGGUAAGGUAAUGGCUUACCAAGGCUACGAUCAAUAGCUGAUCUGAGAGGAUGAUCAGCCACAUUGGGACUGAGACACGGCCCAGACUCCUACGGGAGGCAGCAGUGGGGAAUCUUGCACAAUGGGGGAAACCCUGAUGCAGCGAUGCCGCGUGAGUGAAGAAGGCCUUUGGGUUGUAAAGCUCUUUCGUCGGGGAAGAAAAUGACUGUACCCGAAUAAGAAGGUCCGGCUAACUUCGUGCCAGCAGCCGCGGUAAUACGAAGGGACCUAGCGUAGUUCGGAAUUACUGGGCUUAAAGAGUUCGUAGGUGGUUGAAAAAGUUAGUGGUGAAAUCCCAGAGCUUAACUCUGGAACUGCCAUUAAAACUUUUCAGCUAGAGUAUGAUAGAGGAAAGCAGAAUUUCUAGUGUAGAGGUGAAAUUCGUAGAUAUUAGAAAGAACACCAAUUGCGAAGGCAGCUUUCUGGAUCAUUACUGACACUGAGGAACGAAAGCAUGGGUAGCGAAGAGGAUUAGAUACCCUCGUAGUCCAUGCCGUAAACGAUGUGUGCUAGAUGUUGGGAAUUUAUUUCUCAGUGUCGCAGCAAAAGCGUUAAGCACACCGCCUGGGGAGUACGACCGCAAGGUUAAAACUCAAAUGAAUUGACGGGGACCCGCACAAGUAGUGGAGCAUGUGGUUUAAUUCGAAGAUACGCGCAGAACCUUACCAACACUUGACAUGUUCGUCGCGACUCUAGAGAUUAGAGUUUUCGGUUCGGCCGGACGAAACACAGGUGCUGCAUGGCUGUCGUCAGCUCGUGUCGUGAGCUGUUGGGUUAAGUCCCGCACGAGCGCACC
rnacentral:rRNA from 1 species